CUUGAUCGAGCCGAGCAGCAGCGGGCGGUCCGCCGGCCGGUCGCGCCCAUAGGUGGCGAGCAGCGCGUCGGCCUC
rnacentral:antisense_RNA from 1 species